rnacentral:tRNA from 2 species
GCGUCGUUAGCUCAGUUGGUAGAGCAGGGAACUUUUAAUUCUCAUGUCGCUUAGGUUCGAAUCCUGCACGGCGUACCA